rnacentral:lncRNA from 1 species
AUAGAAUUGAAAUGGUAAUUGCUAAUGGUUCCCCAUGUGAUUUCUAGUACAUCAUUUGGAAGAAGUUGGAAGAACCAGUGACAUCGUUUCGUCAAAGCUGCCUCCAUUUCCAUCUCCUUGUUUAUGUGGGUAAGUUGUCUUGACAUUUAUAUCUAUACAAAUAAAAAAAAAGUAGGGAUAAAAUUCAUGUUGAACUCUGGCUCAUUCUACAGAAAAAUAAUAUUCAUCUAUGGAUACUUAAAAUAAUAGGAGAUGGAAUAGAAACACCAGUUCAGAGAUUAAAAAACAGUAUGAAAUUUUUGACUCCAGAGAAAGAGAAUCAGGCAGAGGUCAUAUUACCUUUUAAGACCUAGUCUUGGAAGGCACAGAGGGUCACUUCCUUUCGUUGCAUCUGUGAAAGGGAAAUACAUCUUGGGGCCUCAAAAUCACUAAGCUACAGGGAAAAGUCAAGCUGGAAACUGCAUAGGGCAAACCUGCCUCCCUGUCUAUU